GCCUUUAGCUGCAAAAACACUUGGAGCACUCUUGUACGCUAAAGCAGAAAUUGAUGAAUGGGUUGGCGUGCUGAAUAGCGAAGUAUGGGAUCUUCCAAGUGACAAGAGCAACAUACUGCCGGCUUUAAGAUUGAGUUAUUCUCAUCUCCCUUCUCAUCUUAAACGUUGCUUUGCUUAUUGCUCCGUACUUCCAAAGAGCAAGCUAUUUGAGAAGGCGCAUUUGAUUAUGUUAUGGAGGGCGGAAGGACUGUUGCCUAGAAGAAAGAAACGAUUUGAAGAUGAAGGCGAUGAGUACUUUCGUGAGCUACUAUCAAGGUCAUUUUUUCACGACUGUGAUAAAAAAUAUUUCAAAAUGCACGAUCUUUUCAUUGAUUUAGCUAAAAGUGUAGCCGCCGGGGAAUUUUUUUUCAAGUCUGAGGCUGGCAUUCUACAUGAAGUGCCUGAAACGGUUCGCUAUUUUUCAUUCACAGCUGGCAAAGUCGACGAUUCUGAACAGUUUGAUGCCUUUCAGGGUGUCAAUCACCUGCGGACUUUUCUGCUGCUAAAGCAUCCUUCUUCCUUAGGGGCUCACCGGUUGAGUACUUCUGCUUUUGCAAAUCUGAUGCAAGCGCUAAAGUUCAGUCACUUGCGUGUGCUUUCCUUGCGCGAUUAUCAUAUCGGAAAUUUGCAUGAUUCCAUUGGCAACUUAAAAUAUCUACGUUAUUUGGAUAUUUCUGGCACUGGAAUUCAAGAAUUAGGAGAGAGUGUUUGUUCUUUGUAUAAUUUGGAGACACUACUAUUGUCGAGAUGUACAGAGCUCAAAAAGCUGCCUAACAACAUGCACAAUCUUAUUAAUUUACAACAUCUCGACGUCAGUAGAACUAAAGUCGAAGAAUUACCAGAAACUGUUUGUUCUUUGUAUAAUUUGGAGACACUACUAUUGUCGAGAUGUACAGAGCUCAAAAAGCUGCCUAACAACAUGCACAAUCUUAUUAAUUUACAACAUCUCGACGUCAGUAGAACUAAAGUCGAAGAAUUACCAGAAAC
rnacentral:misc_RNA from 1 species